UACGUAGGGGGCAAGCGUUGUCCGGAUUUAUUGGGCGUAAAAGGCUUGUAGGUGGCCACGCCAAGUCGGAUGUGAAAUCUCCCGGCUCAACUGGGAGGGGUCAUUCGAUACUGGCGGGCUCGAGGCCGGUAGGGGGAAGUGGAAUUCCCGGUGUAGUGGUGGAAUGCGCAGAUAUCAGGAAGAACACCCGUGGCGAAGGCGGCUCUCUGGGACGGUACUGACGCUGAGACGCAAAGCGUGGGGAGCGAAC
rnacentral:rRNA from 1 species